AUAAAGGCUGCGAUGGAAAGCAAGUAGGUGUGCGACAAGCCCACACAGAGAGCUGCCGGUUGGUGAAAGGCGCGGGGGGUCUGCACUGAAUACAGUUCCGGAGCCGCAUGCCGCAAGGAUAUUCCGUAAGGCAUGACGCGUGUGCGCGUUACAGCACGGAGGUUUAUUUGAACCUCCCGAGUCCGAAGCCGCGAGGCUUUGGAAAAUAGAGGUGGUACCGCGAGCUGAUCGCCCUCUGU
rnacentral:ncRNA from 1 species